rnacentral:rRNA from 1 species
UAAAUACUACUCGAUGACCGAUAGUGAACUAGUAGGGCGAUUGAACGGUGAAAAGAACAGCUGUUAGCUGAGUCAAAAGAACCUGAAACCAUAUACUUACAAGCGGUCGGAGCCCCAAGUGGGUGACGGCGUACCUUUUGCAUAAUGGGCCGGCGAGUGCAUGUUUGCGGCAAGGCUAAGGCGUUGAGCGCUGGAGCCGUAGUGAAAGCGAGCCUUAAGAUGGCGUGAAGUCGUAGGCAUGCGGCCCGAAACCUAGUGAUCUACCCAUGGGCAGAGUGAACGUUCCGUAAAAGGAACGGGAGGCUCGAAGCCGUGAACGUUGAAAAGUUCUGGCAUGACCUGUGGGGAGGAGUGAAAGUCUAAUCAAACCUGGAGAUAGCUCGUUCUCUCCGAAAUGGCUUUAGGGCCAGCGUCGGGGCGUAUCCCGCGGGGGUAGAGCGACGGAAUUCGGCCGGGGGGCUUCCCGCCUACCCGCCGAAACCCAACUCCGAAUACCGCGAGGACGGACCCCGGCAGUCAGAGCGCGGGGGAGAAGCUUCGCGCUCGAGAGGGAAACAACCCAGACCGCCGACCAAGGCCCCCAAGUUGACGCUCAGUGGCAAAGGAAGUGGGAUCGCGGUGACAGCCGGGAUGUUGGCUUAGAAGCAGCCACCAUUUCAAAAGUGCGUAACAGCUUACCGGUCGAGCCAUCCCGCGCCGAAAAUGACGGGGACUCAAGCGUCGCGCCGCAGUCGCGGAUUCGCGCAAGCGAGUAGUAGGAGAGCGUCGCCAGCAGCGUCGAAGCCGGACGGAUACGACCGGUGGAGCGUUGGCGAGUGCGUAUGCCGGAACGAGUAACGAUAAGACGGGUGGGAAGCCCGUCCGCCGAAAGCACAAGGUUUCCUGGGGAAGGUCAAUCCGCCCAGGGUCAGUCGGGACCUAAGUCGAGGCCCAAGGGCGUAGACGAUGGGCACGCGGUUAAUAUUCCGCGACCCGCCUGGAAGGUUGAUGAUAGCAGGACGCCGAGACGAGAGGGAUCGGGGUGAUAGACGCCCCCGUCCCGCAAGGGCGACGGCACUUCGAUCCGGAAGUCCCUCGACCUCUCGGCCGCGAAAAGCCGCUAUCGGACGACACGUCGGCCCGUACCGCAAUCCGACACAGGUGUGCUAGGCGAGCAUCCGAAGGCGUUCGGGAGAACCCUCGUGAAGGAACACCCCAAAAUCACCCCGUAACUUCGGUAUAAGGGGUGCUCAUCUGGCGACAGGUGAGCCGCAGAGAAUCGGCUCUAGCGACUGUUUAUCAAAAACACAGGACUCUGCCAACUCGCAAGAGGACGUAUAGAGUCUGACGCCUGCUCGGUGUCGGUAGGUUAAGGGAGCCGGUUAGCGCAAGCGAGGCUGGCGACCGAAGCCCCGAUAAACGGCGGCCGUAACUAUGACGGUCCUAAGGUAGCGAAGUUCCUUGUCGGGUAAGUUCCGACCUGCAUGAAUGGCGUAACGACUGGAGCGCUGUCUCCACGGGGGACCCGGUGAAAUUGUAGCCGUGGUGAAGAUGCCACGUACCCGCGGUCAGACGGAAAGACCCCGUGAACCUUUACUGCAGGUUGACACUGGC